CACGGCGCACGGGUGCGUAACACGUGGGCAAUCUGCCCUCCGAUGGGGAAUAACCCCGCGAAAGCGGGGCUAAUUCCGCAUAACAUUCCUUGGACUUAGGUUUGAGGAUUCAAAGCAGCAAUGCGUCGGAGGAGGAGCCCGCGCCCGAUUAGCUAGUUGGUGAGGUAACGGCUCACCAAGGCAAUGAUCGGUAGCUGGUCUGAGAGGAUGAUCAGCCACACUGGAACUGAGACACGGUCCAGACUCCUACGGGAGGCAGCAGUGGGGAAUCUUGCACAAUGGGCGAAAGCCUGAUGCAGCGACGCCGCGUGGGGGAUGAAGCUUCUCGGAGUGUAAACCCCUUUCGACUGGGACGAAUGCCCGCAAGGGAGUGACGGUACCAGUAGAAGAAGCCCCGGCUAACUACGUGCCAGCAGCCGCGGUAAGACGUAGGGGGCCAGCGUUGUUCGGAAUUACUGGGUGUAAAGGGUUCGUAGGCGGUGUGGCAAGUUGGGAGUGAAAUCUCUGGGCUCAACCCAGAGGCUGCUUCCAA
rnacentral:rRNA from 1 species